GAAACUUACAGUAAACUUAAUUCACCAAAGUGUGUGGACACCUGAUCAUCAAACCCAUAUCUGCUUGUUGUAGAUCCCAUUGAAGAUUAAGCCCCCCUUUUGUUUUCACUUUUUUUAAACUCACAAAACCUGUUCUUCACAUUCGCAGAUAGCGAAUCAACAGUUCUGAUGCAAUCUCAGGGUGUAGAACAGUUUACUGAGUAUAAAUACUGGGAACAAGCAACAAUAACAAAAGAACGAACACCAAGAUCAUCAUGUGAACUCCAUUAAAUGUCUAAAUAUGGCAUUUCUGAAAAUCUGUAUCGCAGCUUGAAAAAAUAACCUAAUCCUGAAGAAAGAUGGCUUCUAACAGAAGUGUCAUUAAAAACUGUGGAUCAGCAUCAGGAUCAGCCCAGAGGGACUCGAGCCAGUUUAGAGGUGAGUCACAUGACAUACCCAGAGGUGCUAUGCAUUGCCAAGGCCUUGUAAAACAGCAAAAUGCUUUAAUUUGCUUUUUACCAAGCCAGCCCUACAAGAAAUAGCAAGAUAAACCAAUCAAACCCGACUGGUAAAACGGACAUGGCAGAAAGUCAAAAUCAAAUACAAGAACAUUCUGCAGAAUGCAGUGAAAAAGAAUACCCACAGACAAGGCACAGGUGGUGGGUCACCAAAAGCUGACCUCACCCCAGCAGAGGACAUAGCUUUGGAGCUAAAUAAAGGCAGGCCUGUGUUGGAGGGGAUCCCUGGGGGGAAAAGACAAGCAUAGGUCCCUCCCAAGAUGCCACCUGCUUCAUACAAGUGUCUGGCAGCACUGUGUUACUGUUAGAGCCACAAGCACCAGAUGAUGCUGAUCCAGUGAGUACUCCAUCAAAGGCAUACUGUAGGCCUGGUAUGUCUUGUCAACUAGCUUCAAUAUGAAUCCGAUUAAAUGUGAUAGGUGCAGCAGCAACAGCAC